rnacentral:lncRNA from 1 species
CUCGGUAACUAUUGGUGCCAAAUAUCUGUCUCCUCUGUGUAUUUGUAUAUCUUCUUUGGAGAAAUCUCUUCACAUACUUUUAUUGUUUUCAAAAUGAGUUGUCUUUUAUGACACUCACUUUUAAGAUUUCUUUAGAUAUUCUAGAUAUUUAGCUUUCAUUCAUCUUUCGCAAAUACCAUUUCCUGUUCUAUAAGCUGUUGCAGUUUGUGGUGGUACAUGAAUGUUUUUACUUUUGGAGUUCAGUGUUCCCAUUUUUUUCUUUUGUUGCAUGUAGCUUUGCUCUCAUAUUAAGCAAGUUUUUUGAUGAAAAAAUAAGGCUAGUGGAUGAAAAAAUAUAGCUGGUAGAUGAUAAAAGGGAAUUUUAAGCUCUGUGUGUGUGUGUGUGUGUGUGUGUGUUUUAAUGUAUUUGAUUUUUCCUUCCCCAACUAAUUCCAUCAUUCCUCAUAGGAAUCCAGGCAUGACAAAGAAAAGAUAGAAAAGAAAGAAAAACGGGAUAGUUCAGGAGGAAAGGAAGAGAAGAAACAAUAUCCUUUUUUUCUUGUUUAUAUUUCACUUACUCUAAUAGAAUGAUUUGAUACUGUUCAUAUUUAGACUUAAACCUUUCUUGUAUGUGGUGUAAGUAUGCAGGAGCUUAUUAUUUUUUAAGUGAUAUUUUUAGUUAACCCUCAGUGUAUGAUCUGAAAACAAGAGAUUCAAUCUUCUUGAUUUUUAAAAAAUAAUUCUGUAGUGACUGAGAUGUUUUAGGGCAUAAGUUUUAUAGAAUCUGUGUCUUUUUGUUGGUCUUAUCUCUUUGUAUAGUUACCAAGAAAACAUAAAAAGAGGAACAGUGACUCCCUUGGGCUCGGGAACAUAGUGACAAGAAUGACAGAAUGAAAUGACACAUAUGCAGAGUUCCUAGAGCUUGAGGUUACUAGGUUGAGCAGAGCCAAUUAAGUUUGGACACUAUUCUGCAUGCCCCAAAGUUGUUUUCCCUUAAUUUGUCAUCUACUCAUAAGUCCUCUGACAAGCACAGAUAAUGAACGCUUUCAACUAAGGGUGUGGACAGACUCCUAAGCUGAACGUCUCCCCUAGGAGGAUGCCAAAGCUCCAUGAGUCAUUUUCAGAAAGAUAUCUCAUAUAAUUAAGAGCUUCUGGUGCUGUCCAUUUUAUGGGAAUCUGCUUUAAGUCAGAAGAUGCAUACCCACCACCAUCCUUUUGACAAGACAUUCCAAAGUCACUGAUUUUUUCAGAACAUUAUUUUCACCUGAAGGCAAUUUCUUGGAGCAAGAUCCCUGUGCAUACAAUUUUUACUUGAGAUAUGCCAUCCAGAAGCAGCAUCUAAUGAGAAAUUCACUAACUGACUUUUAGUUCAUCCUUCUUUCUCAGAAAGGAAAGGAAAUUGCCUCGUGGAACCAAUUCCUUAAUGAUGUAGAUAGGUUGCCUUUGUGUGUGAACUCUGUUAAGUGUGAAAACAUUGGGAUGAUUAUGUUGCUUGGAGGGUUUUAGCUUCUUGUAAACAUUUUAAAUUUAAUUCCAGUUCUUGGGAAAGAUCUUUACGUUUGUUUGACAGCAACAACAAUUUUACGUUUUAAUGCAUCCUUAAAUAUGUCAUCAAAAGUUUCCUUGUCCUUAAGGAAUUCUCAUGGUGUGACAUCAUCUUGAUUGAGACCCCAUUU